UCGGUUAUGGUGUAACGGCUAACAUUACCGCCUUUCAUUCAUUUGAUAUCUCUUCCAGAUCGCGGUAGCUCGGGGUUCGAUUCCCCGUAACCGAA